rnacentral:rRNA from 1 species
UACGAAGGGGGCUAGCGUUGCUCGGAAUCACUGGGCGUAAAGGGCGCGUAGGCGGCCAUUCAAGUCGGGGGGUGAAAGCCUGUGGCUCAACCACAGAAUUGCCUUCGAUACUGUUUGGCUUGAGUUUGGUAGAGGUUGGUGGAACUGCGAGUGUAGAGGUGAAAUUCGUAGAUAUUCGCAAGAACACCAGUGGCGAAGGCGGCCAACUGGACCAAUACUGACGCUGAG